rnacentral:rRNA from 1 species
CCUACGGGCGGCAGCAGUGGGGAAUAUUGGGCAAUGGGCGCAAGCCUGACCCAGCCACGCCGCGUGAAGGAAGACGGCUCUCGGGUUGUAAACUUCUUUUUUCAGGGACGAAGCCAGUGACGGUACCUGAGGAAUAAGCCUCGGCUAACUACGUGCAAGCAGCCGCGGUAAUCCGUAGGUGGCAGGCGUUAUCCGGAUUUACUGGGUGUAAAGGGCGUGUAGGCGGGAAAGCAAGUCAGGUGUGAAAACCAUGGGCUCAACCUGUGGCCUGCAUUUGAAACUGUGUUUCUUGAGUACUGGAGAGGCAGGCGGAAUUCGUGGUGUAGCGGUGAAAUGCGUAGAUAUCAGGAAGAACACCAGUGGCGAAGGCGGUCUGCUGGAGAGCAACUGACGCUGAUGCGCGAAAGCGUGGGUAGCGAACAGGAUUAGAUACCCCUGUAGUC